rnacentral:rRNA from 1 species
GUCGAGCGAACAGAUAAGGAGCUUGCUGCCGUAUUGACGUUAGCGGCGGACGGGUGAGUAACACGUGGGUAACCUACCUAUAAGACUGGGAUAACUUCGGGAAACCGGAGCUAAUACCGGAUAACAUUUGGAACCGCAUGGUUCUAAAGUGAAAGAUGGUUUUGCUAUCACUUAUAGAUGGACCCGCGCCGUAUUAGCUAGUUGGUAAGGUAACGGCUUACCAAGGCGACGAUACGUAGCCGACCUGAGAGGGUGAUCGGCCACACUGGAACUGAAACACGGUCCAGACUCCUACGGGAGGCAGCAGUAGGGAAUCUUCCGCAAUGGGCGAAAGCCUGACGGAGCAACGCCGCGUGAGUGAUGAAGGGUUUCGGCUCGUAAAACUCUGUUAUUAGGGAAGAACAAAUGUGUAAGUAACUGUGCACGUCUUGACGGUACCUAAUCAGAAAGCCACGGCUAACUACGUGCCAGCAGCCGCGGUAAUACGUAGGUGGCAAGCGUUAUCCGGAAUUAUUGGGCGUAAAGCGCGCGUAGGCGGUUUCUUAAGUCUGAUGUGAAAGCCCACGGCUCAACCGUGGAGGGUCAUUGGAAACUGGGAAACUUGAGUGCAGAAGAGGAAAGUGGAAUUCCAUGUGUAGCGGUGAAAUGCGCAGAGAUAUGGAGGAACACCAGUGGCGAAGGCGACUUUCUGGUCUGUAACUGACGCUGAUGUGCGAAAGCGUGGGGAUCAAACAGGAUUAGAUACCCUGGUAGUCCACGCCGUAAACGAUGAGUGCUAAGUGUUAGGGGGUUUCCGCCCCUUAGUGCUGCAGCUAACGCAUUAAGCACUCCGCCUGGGGAGUACGACCGCAAGGUUGAAACUCAAAGGAAUUGACGGGGACCCGCACAAGCGGUGGAGCAUGUGGUUUAAUUAGAAGCAACGCGAAGAACCUUACCAAAUCUUGACAUCCUUUGAAAACUCUAGAGAUAGAGCCUUCCCCUUCGGGGGACAAAGUGACAGGUGGUGCAUGGUUGUCGUCAGCUCGUGUCGUGAGAUGUUGGGUUAAGUCCCGCAACGAGCGCAACCCUUAAGCUUAGUUGCCAUCAUUAAGUUGGGCACUCUAGGUUGACUGCCGGUGACAAACCGGAGGAAGGUGGGGAUGACGUCAAAUCAUCAUGCCCCUUAUGAUUUGGGCUACACACGUGCUACAAUGGACAAUACAAAGGGCAGCUAAACCGCGAGGUCAUGCAAAUCCCAUAAAGUUGUUCUCAGUUCGGAUUGUAGUCUGCAACUCGACUACAUGAAGCUGGAAUCGCUAGUAAUCGUAGAUCAGCAUGCUACGGUGAAUACGUUCCCGGGUCUUGUACACACCGCCCGUCACACCACGAGAGUUUGU